rnacentral:tRNA from 1 species
GCCGACGUAGCUCAGCUGGUAGAGUAGCGGUUUCGUAAAUCGCGGGUCGGAGGUUCGAGUCCUCUCGUCGGCU